UAGAGUUCGUUUUACUACGUAUUUCUUUAUUUAUCGACCCUCGAUUAAUAUAAUUUCUAUAUUUUUAAAAGGAGGUGAUC
rnacentral:ribozyme from 1 species